rnacentral:rRNA from 1 species
UGGCGGCAUGCUUCACAUGCUUAUCGAACGGCAGCGCGGGAGCAAUCCUGGCGGCGAGUGGCGAACGGGUGAGUAAUACAUCGGAACGUGCCCAAUCGUGGGGGAUAACGCAGCGAAAGCUGUGCUAAUACCGCAUACGAUCUACGGAUGAAAGCAGGGGAUCGCAAGACCUUGCGCGAAUGGAGCGGCCGAUGGCAGAUUAGGUAGUUGGUGAGGUAAAGGCUCACCAAGCCUUCGAUCUGUAGCUGGUCUGAGAGGACGACCAGCCACACUGGGACUGAGACACGGCCCAGACUCCUACGGGAGGCAGCAGUGGGGAAUUUUGGACAAUGGGCGAAAGCCUGAUCCAGACAUGCCGCGUGCAGGAUGAAGGCCUUCGGGUUGUAAACUGCUUUUGUACGGAACGAAACGGUCUUUACUAAUAAAGAAGGCUCACGACGGUACCGUAAGAAUAAGCACCGGCUAACUACGUGCCAGCAGACGAGGUAAUACGUAGAGUAGAAGCGUAAAUCGGAAUUAAUGGGCGUAAAGCAUGAG